GAUCCCCUCCUUUCUAAGGAUGUUCCCUCAGUACGCCCUUGAUCUUCGGAUCUCGGUACGACUAUCGGAACUCUUAGAUACAAGCUCACAGUCAGUGAGCAUUAUGCGGGACGCCGCCGUCUUCGUUUCUCUUUCUUCAUGGACGAGCCCAGGCCACUGGGUCUGGUUGCUCCGUUCGCGGAUCGACCGACCCGACUGUAGGCUUGGGGCCUGUAGCUCAGGUGGUUAGAGCGCACCCCUGAUAAGGGUGAGGUCGGACGUUCGAGUCGUCCCAGGCCCACCACUUAACCGAGGCGACUCUGAUCGCUACGCACCUUCCGGGGCCAUAGCUCAGUUGGGAGAGCGCGUGCUUUGCAAGCAUGAGGUCGUCGGUUCGAUCCCGUCUGGCUCCACCAUCACCCAGGUGAUGCGUGUAGAGCUCGGUGAUCUCUCGUCCAUGAGAACCUGAAUUCGCACAUUCCGCAGGAUGAUCCGGGAAUGAGGCGUGUUGUCUGACAUCGUAAAGAAGCAUUCAUUCGAUCAGUCGCAAGACGGAUCGGAACAUGGCGCCUUCGGGCAUCGUGGAUCCGGUUGUCGGGGCCUGACCGCACCGUCGUCGAAUGACAUGCGAAGCAAGCUGGUCUUUAGAAUAGCUUCGAUGCCGUGAGAUGGGUCUCUCAAAACCAUCUCGCCCCCGUGGAGCGCACAAGAGGUUGCACGCCUCUCGUGAGCACAUUCCAUGAAAUUCCGAGUGGGGUGGGCAUCGAAGAUGAGAACGAUCAAGUGUCUUAAGGGCAUUCGGUGGAUGCCUUGGCGCUGAGAGGCGAUGAAGGACGUGGUACGCUGCGAUAAGUCACGGGGAGCUGCGAACAAGCUUUGAUCCGUGAAUUUCCGAAUGG
rnacentral:misc_RNA from 1 species